rnacentral:piRNA from 1 species
CAGAAAUUUUGUGCUCGAGUUCUCUU